AUUGAACGCUGGCGGCAGGCCUAACACAUGCAAGUCGAGCGAGCGGCGGACGGGUGAGUAAUGUAUGGGGACUGCCCGAUAGAGGGGGAAAACUAAUGGAAACGGUGGCUAAUACCGCAUACUAUCGGAUAACCCAGAUGGGAUUAGCUAGUAGUUGGGGUAAAGGCUCACCGAGGAAAAGAUCUCUAGCUGGUCUGAGAGGAUGAUCAGCCAAACUGGUACUGAGACACGGCCCAGACUCCUACGGAGGCAGCAGUGGGGAAUAUUGCACAAUGGGCGCAAGCCUGAUGCAGCCAUGCCGCGUGUAUGAAGAAGGCCGUAGGGUUGGAAAGUACUGUCAGCGGGGAGGCGUUACCCGCAGAAGAAGCACCGGCUAACUCCGUGCCAGCAGCCGCGGUAAUAC
rnacentral:rRNA from 1 species